GCAGUCGAGCGGCGCACAAGGGAGUUUACUCCUGAGGUGGCGAGCGGCGGAUGGGUGAGUAAUGCCUAGGGAUCUGCCCAGUCGAGGGGGAUAACAGUUGGAAACGACUGCUAAUACCGCAUACGCCCUACGGGGGAAAGGAGGGGACCUUCGGGCCUUCCGCGAUUGGAUGAACCUAGGUGGGAUUAGCUAGUUGGUGAGGUAAUGGCUCACCAAGGCGACGAUCCCUAGCUGUUCUGAGAGGAUGAUCAGCCACACUGGGACUGAGACACGGCCCAGACUCCUGCGGGAGGCAGCAGUGGGGAAUAUUGCACAAUGGGGGAAACCCUGAUGCGGCCAUGCCGCGUGUGUGAAGGAGGCCUUCGGGUUGUAAAGCACUUUCAGUAGGGAGGAAAGGGUGAGUCUUAAUACGGCUUAUCUGUGACGUUACCUACAGAAGAAGGACCGGCUAACUCCGUGCCAGCAGCCGCGGUAAUACGGAGGGUCCGAGCGUUAAUCGGAAUUACUGGGCGUAAAGCGUGCGCAGGCGGUUUGUUAAGCGAGAUGUGAAAGCCCUGGGCUCAACCUAGGAAUAGCAUUUCGAACUGACAAACUAGAGUCUUGUAGAGGGGGGUAGAAUUCCAGGUGUAGCGGUGAAAUGCGUAGAGAUCUGGAGGAAUACCGGUGGCGAAGGCGGCCCCCUGGACAAAGACUGACGCUCAUGCA
rnacentral:rRNA from 1 species